GUGUGUCUGUAGAACAGAGGAGACUGC
rnacentral:piRNA from 1 species